rnacentral:rRNA from 1 species
GACGAACGCUGGCGGCGUGCCUAAUACAUGCAAGUUGAGCGCUGAAGGUUGGUACUUGUACCAACUGGAUGAGCAGCGAACGGGUGAGUAACGCGUGGGGAAUCUGCCUUUGAGCGGGGGACAACAUUUGGAAACGAAUGCUAAUACCGCAUAAAAACUUUAAACACAAGUUUUAAGUUUGAAAGAUGCAAUUGCAUCACUCAAAGAUGAUCCCGCGUUGUAUUAGCUAGUUGGUGAGGUAAAGGCUCACCAAGGCGAUGAUACAUAGCCGACCUGAGAGGGUGAUCGGCCACAUUGGGACUGAGACACGGCCCAAACUCCUACGGGAGGCAGCAGUAGGGAAUCUUCGGCAAUGGACGAAAGUCUGACCGAGCAACGCCGCGUGAGUGAAGAAGGUUUUCGGAUCGUAAAACUCUGUUGGUAGAGAAGAACGUUGGUGAGAGUGGAAAGCGCAUCAAGUGACGGUAACUACCCAGAAAAGGACGGCGAACUACGU